rnacentral:rRNA from 1 species
UUAACGACUCUCGGCAACGGAUAUCUCGGCUCUCGCAUCGAUGAAGAACGUAGCGAAAUGCGAUACUUGGUGUGAAUUGCAGAAUCCCGUGAACCAUCGAGUCUUUGAACGCAAGUUGCUGCCCUAUACCAUUAGGUUGAGGGCACCGCCUGCCUUGGGCGUCACGC